AGAGUUUGAUCAUGGCUCAGGAUGAACGCUAGCGGCAGGCCUAAUACAUGCAAGUCGGACGGGAUAGGAGAGCUUGCUUUCCUUGAGAGUGGCGCACGGGUGCGUAACACGUAUGUAACCUACCUUGUUCAGGGGGGAUAGCCUCUCGAAAGAGAGAUUAAGACCGCAUAACAUCAUGAUGCAGCAUUGCAAUAUGAUCAAAUAUUUAUAGGAACAAGAUGGGCAUGCGGAACAUUAGCUAGUUGGUAAGGUAAAGGCUUACCAAGGCUACGAUGUUUAGGGGAUCUGAGAGGAUGACCCCCCACACUGGUACUGAGACACGGACCAGACUCCUACGGGAGGCAGCAGUAAGGAAUAUUGGUCAAUGGGCGGAAGCCUGAACCAGCCAUGCCGCGUGCAGGAAGACUGCCCUACGGGUUGUAAACUGCUUUUGUACCGGAAUAAACCUUGAUUCGUGAAUCAAGCUGAAUGUACGGUAAGAAUAAGGAUCGGCUAACUCCGUGCCAGCAGCCGCGGUAAUACGGAGGAUCCAAGCGUUAUCCGGAUUUAUUGGGUUUAAAGGGUGCGUAGGUGGCUUUUUAAGUCAGGGGUGAAAGACGGUAGCUUAACUAUCGCAGUGCCUUUGAUACUGAAGAGCUUGAAUGAACUAGAGGUAGGCGGAAUGUGACAAGUAGCGGUGAAAUGCAUAGAUAUGUCACAGAACACCAAUUGCGAAGGCAGCUUACUAUGGUUUAAUUGACACUGAGGCACGAAAGCGUGGGGAUCAAACAGGAUUAGAUACCCUAGUAGUCC
rnacentral:rRNA from 1 species